AGGACGAACGCUGGCGGCGUGCUUAACACAUGCAAGUCGAACGGAAAGGCCCCUUCGGGGGUACUCGAGUGGCGAACGGGUGAGUAACACGUGGGCAACCUGCCCUCAGCUUCGGGAUAACACUUGGAAACAGGUGCUAAUACCGGAUAAUAACUUGUCAUCGCAUGGUGGUGGGUUCAAAGUUUUUCGGCUGAGGAUGGGCCCGCGGCCUAUCAGCUUGUUGGUGGGGUAAUGGCCUACCAAGGCGACGACGGGUAGCCGGCCUGAGAGGGCGACCGGCCACACUGGGACUGAGACACGGCCCAGACUCCUACGGGAGGCAGCAGUGGGGAAUAUUGCGCAAUGGGCGGAAGCCUGACGCAGCGACGCCGCGUGAGGGAUGACGGCCUUCGGGUUGUAAACCUCUUUCAGCUCUGACGAAGCGCAAGUGACGGUAGGAGCGAGAAGAAGCACCGGCCAACUACGUGCCAGCAGCCGC
rnacentral:rRNA from 1 species